rnacentral:lncRNA from 1 species
CUGCAGCGAGAUGAUGCUUUGUGACAGCCAUGCCUGGGGUGAGUCUCCAUGUUCUGUGUCCUUUGAGAAUGUGUGGUAUGCUAAGGCAAACAUCUGAUGUGUGCUCGGGAAAUGCAAAUCAAUGAACUUCUCUCUUCAUGUGAUAAGCCAGGCCCAGGGCCAUUCCUUAAAAGGCAGCUUUCCUAAUCACUGGUAACUUUCUGCUGCUAAAGGCAUAGGUACAGAUUUUUUCUAAGGACCAGCUUCCCACACCAAAUGCAAUCCAUGUGGUUCAGCACAAGCUCAGUUAUUUAAAAAUGCUAAGGCAUCUUUAAUAACAGUAGGGGUGAUAAGUUUCAGGUUAAUGAAAAAAUAAGUAUGUUUAGCCUUGUAAUCUUACUUAAGACCUUAACCCAGUUUAACUCAAUAUCUAGGUUCUUGAGGUCUCUAAUCUAGGUUUUAUUCCCAGAACAUUCGAAGCUCCUGGAUUAUUCAGAAUAGGAUA